rnacentral:rRNA from 1 species
AAACUAACAAGGAUUCCCCUAGUAACGGCGAGUGAACCGGGAAGAGCUCAAAUUUGAAAUCUGGCAGUCUUCGAUUGUCCGAGUUGUAAUCUAUAGAAGCGUUUUCCGUGCUGAACUGUGUCUAAGUCCCUUGGAACAGGGUAUCAAAGAGGGUGACAAUCCCGUACUUGACACAAUCAUCAGUGCUCUGUGAUACGUUCUCUACGAGUCGUGUUGUUUGGGAAUGCAGCACAAAAUGGGUGGUAAAUUCCAUCUAAAGCUAAAUAUUGGCGAGAGACCGAUAGCGAACAAGUACCGUGAGGGAAAGAUGAAAAGCACUUUGGAAAGAGAGUUAAACAGUACGUGAAAUUGUUGAAAGGGAAACGAUUGAAGUCAGUCGUGUUCAUUGGAUUCAGCCGGUCUUCGGUGUACUUCCUUUGAACGGGUCAACAUCAGUUUUGUCCGGUGGAUAAAUGUAGUAGGAAAGUAGCUCCCUCGGGAGUGUUAUAGCCU